rnacentral:lncRNA from 1 species
ACCCAAAUUUACUCAGCCAUUCUCCAACUGAUGGGCAUCCACUCAUUUUCUAGUUUCUAGCCACUACAAAGAGGGCUGCCACAAACAUUUUGGCAAUACAGGUCCCUUUCCCUUCUUUAGUAUCUCUUUGGGGUAUAAGCCCAGUAGCAGCACUGCUGUGUCAAAGGGUAUGCACAGUUUGAUAACUUUUUGGGCAUAAUUCCAGAUUUUUCGAAUGGGGAUUGCCCACAACCCACCAACAAUGUCCCAGUUUUCCCGCAUCCCCUCCAACAAUCAUCAUUAUUUUUUCCUGUCAUCUUAGCCAAUCUGACAGGUGUGUAGUGGUAUCUCAGAAUUGUCUUAAUUUGCAUGUCUCUGAUUAAUAAUGAUUUGGAACACUCUUUCAUAUGAGUGGUAAUAAUUUCAAUUUCAUCAUCUGAAAAUUGUCUGUUCAUAUCCUUUGACCAUUUGUCAAUUGUAGAAUGACUUGGUUUCUUAUAAAUUAGAGUCAAUUCUCUAUAUAUUUUGGAAAUGAGGCCUUUGUCAGAACUUUUGACUGUAAAAAUAUUUUCCCAGUUUAUUGCUUCCCUUCUAAUCUUGCUUACAUUUCACUAAUAAUUCCUUAGGAGAGAAUGUAAAAAUAUAUUUCCUUAUGAUGAUGAGGCCAGAGCAUGUGACAAGACAAAAACAAAGUAUACCAGAAUAAUUUUAAAAAAUUUUUUCCAAGACUCAUAUAAAUAGCAUUGUUUUUUCUCUCCUUCACAUGACUCCUCUUUCUCUUAUUCUCUUCUCCCUCCCCCAUCAUUUGUAUUUUUUGGCUUUUUACCAAAUAAAAAGCCAGGAAAAUAUUUAAUAUGUUCAAAUUUUAAGCACUCAUACAAAAAAAAAAAAAAAAAAAAAAACAACAACCCGCAGUUAAUUAACUGUUGAAUGCUACUUUUUGUGCUUUAUUGCUUCAUCCUAUUUUUUAGUCCUCUAAAUUACCUGGAUUUUUUUUUCACUAAGAAAACAAGACUAUUUGAUCCCUAGGUUGACAAAUUAUUCACAAGACUAAUAGCAUAAACAAUCUAAGGCAAUAAAUUUGUCUAGUCAUCACCUUAUUUGGGAUUGACAGAUGUAAUGGAGCAAGAAAAUGAUAUUUCAUUCAUCUUUUCAAGCAGCCAAGACAAAACCAUGAAGCAGGAAAAACUUAUAAACUCACCAUCACUAUCCUUCUAUCCCUCUCCCUAACAGUUCUUUAUUUAGCUCUUUACUUUCUCUUUCUACCCAGAGAUUGUUAUUGUUUGUGCUUCAUUCUCAAAGAGGACCAUAAUAUCAAGAAGGUGAUGCUAUGGCAUGCAAGUGAAUUAUUUGAGUGAGUGAGGGCAAAGUCACAGUCUCACUUUCUCCUCUGGAACCAUCUAGGUCUAGUGUGGCCAGAUUUAGAUCAGAAUGACUGAAGAUAGCUUUCCCUCUUUCCAUCAAUGAAAAUCACAGUCUCUUUAGAUGAUCUUACAAUUUUAAAUCAGUUUUCACAGAAUCACAGAAUUUUGUUGGAAUUUUGUACCCCAGCUGCCAUCUAAUCCAAUCCAAAGCUCAAAAGAAAUUCUUAUAACACUAUACUUGAUAAGUUGUUAUAAGCUUGCUUAGAUUUCACAUGAGAGAUGUUGGGGAAAUCACUAUCUCCUCAUGCAGUCUAUAAUGCCUUUGGAAAAUUCUAAUUCUUAGGAAUAUUUUCUUUAUGUUAAGCUAAAAUCUUCCCUUUGCCACUUCUACCUAUUACUUUCAGUUCCUUCUUCUAACAGGGCUAAUCCUUCUUCCACAUGGUAGUCCCUUCAAACACUUGAAGACUUCUUUAUGUCCCACCUGAAUAUUCUCCAGGCUAAACAUCCCCAGUUCUAGUCUUCUUAUGAUGAUUCAACAUAGUCAUGGUUAUUCUUCUUCUAUAUGCUUUGUAGCUUAUCAAGGCCUUUCCUUCAUUUGAUAUUAUAGCUGAAAAACAUAAGCCUCAUAAUACUUGGUGGUCAGUCUACUGGUGAUAAAUGAGCCUUUCAGAACUUAUCUGGGUCCUCAAAUAAAAGAUAGACUGUUCAGACCCAUUUUUGAAACCUUUUUUGAAAUCUUCCAGAGCUUUCUCAUCAUUCUAUGAGCUUUAUGGGACCCAAAGCAACCAAAUGAGGAGCCAGAGUAUGACUUAAGUAAAGGUUCCUUCCACAGAAGAAUCUUUUCUUAUUUGGCUGAAAAGUUUUGGUUUGGCAGGGAAAGGGGGAACUUUCUGCUAAAAUCCAUAAUCCAUAAAAUCCAUAAAUUGAAGGGAAACCUCUCUUUUCAAUUGGAAGAGUCUUCCAAAGCUUCCAUUUCCUAUCAUUCUCCCUGUCACCCAGGCUUAAUAAUUUUCAUUUGCCUGUAAGUUCCUUGAGGACAGGCUAUCUUUUCCUUCUGUUUUGUAUACCUGGUGUUUAGAACAGUAGUUGGUACACAGUUGACACUUUAUAAAUGUUUUUGAUUGAUGUAUAAGUUUUGAUUGAUUUACAAGAAAUAUUUCUUGAAUCUUUUAUUACUCCUAUCAGUCCUACAUCCAUUCAGUUGUUGAAUCCUGUUGAUUUUACCUCUAUAGUAACUCUCAUUUCCAUCUUAACAUUUAUAUUUCCACCAAUGCAAUUCAGAUCAUCAUUACUUUUGCCUGGAAAAAUGUAAUAACCUGCGAAGUAUAUCCCGUCUCCUGUCUCUUUAGCCCCCUAUUUCUUAUCCAAAAUAAUCUUCCUAUUGCAUAGGUCUAAUUGUAUUGUUCCCUUGCUCAGAAACCAUCAAUUGCUCCCUAAUACCUAUAGAUUUAAAUAUAAACUCCCCAAUCAUGUAUUUAAAAUCCUUCACAAUGGCUACAGCAUAACUUUUGAAUCAUGUUUCAUUUUGCUCCCUUUUAUAUGCUUUAUUAAUACAAAUCCAUCCAAGACGUUGCCCAGUCUCAUUCUUCUCUUACUUGAAGUUGUAUGUGGUCUCUUCAUAGAAACCUCUACAUGUUAAAAAUCUUUUCUCCGAUGUUCAUCAUUUAAGCAGUCUAGCUGAAAGAGAAUAUAUGUUAUAGUAUUUUAUCUAGGUCUAUUCUUGUAUCAUAUUCUAUCUUAGAUUUACUUUUAAUCAUCUUUAAUCUACUUAAAGUGCCCCUCAGAUGGCAAGCUUUUUAUAAUGAAGCCUUUAUUUUAUUUUUCAUAGCACAGUAACUUAUAUGUUCUUAAUGAAUGUUAAUUGAAGUAAAUCAAAUUGGGAGAAAUAUUCUUUCUCCAAGAUUAUUUUAGGAACAGGUUUUAAAGGAUUCUUUCCUAAUUUCUCAAGUAGAUCAUUUGCAACAAAUAUUGUGAGCAAAGGAACAACAGACAGGCUUACAUGCUAUGGCCUUAAAAAAACCUUUAAAAAUUCCUAGCAAGGGAAAAUUGGAAAAUAGUAUGACAGAAAAUAGGUAUUGAAUAAUACUUGACACUCUAUAUAAAAAUAAAGUCAAAAUGAGUUCAUGAUUUAGAGAUAAAGAGUAAUCUAUAAGCAAAUUAGAAGAACAAGGAAUAGUCUGCCUCUCAGAUCUGUGGAGAAGGAAGGAAUUUAUAGUUAAAGAGGAACUAGAGAACAUUAUGAAAUACAAAACGGAUAAUUUUGGUUAUAUUAAAUUUAAAAGUUUUUGUACAAACAAAACCAAUGUCAACAAGAUUAAAAAGGAAGCAGAAAACUAGAAAAAAAAAUUUACAUCCAAGGGUUCUGAUAAAGGCCUCAUUUCUAAACUAUAUAGAGAAUUAACUCAAAUUUGUGAGAAUACAAGGCAUUGAUAAAUGGUCAGAGGGUAUGAAUAAACAAUUUUCAGAUGAAAAAACUAAACCAUUUCUAGUCAUAUGAAAAAAUUCUCUAAAUCACUAUCGAUCAGAGAAAUGCAGAAUAAGACAACUCUGAGGUAGCACUAUACACCUCUCAGAUUGGUUAAGAUGACAGGAAAAGAUAGUGAUAAAUUUUGAAGGACGUGGGAAAACUGGGAUAUUAAUACAUUGUUGGAGUUGUGAAUUGAUCCAUCCAUUCUGGAGAGCAAUUUGGAACUAUGCCCAAAGAACUAUCAAACUGUGCAUACCCUUUGAUUCAGCAUUGCCUCUAUUGAGACUAUAUCUCAAAGAGAUCAUAAAAAAGGGAAAAGGACCCACAUAUAAAAAAAUGUUUGCAGCAACUCUUUUGUAGUGGCAAAGAACUGGAAACUGAGUAGAUUCCUAUCAGUUGAUGAAUGACUGAAUAAGUUAUGGUAUAUGAAUAUUACAGAAUAUUAUUAUUCUAUAUAAGAAGUGAUCAGCAGGAUGAUUUCAGAAAGGCUUGUAGAGACUUACAUGAACUGAUGCUGAGUGGAGUGAGUAGAACCAAGAGAACAUUGUACAUGACAAGAUUAUAUGAUGAUCAACUCUGAUGGAUGUGGGUCUUUUCAGCAAUGAAGUGAUUCGGGCCAAUUAUAAUAAACUUGUGAUGGAGAGAACUCUAUGCAUUCAGAAAGAGGAUUAUAGGGACUGAAGGGACUGUAGGGACUGGGAGGGAGAAACAUUUGGAACACAAGGUUUUAUAAGGGUGAAUGUUGAAAACUAUCUUUGCAUGUAUUUUGAAAAUAAAAAGCUAAUAUUUAAAAAACAAAAUUCCCAGUAAGGGAAAACAAAUCAAAGAUCAGAUGAUAACUGAAAAGUCAUACAUACACACACACACACACACACACACACACACACACACAUACACACACACAUGUGUGUGUGUGUGUGUAUAAAACUAGCUUCUAAGCUUUCAAUCAAUAAGGAUUUGUUAAGUACUUACUAUGUAUCAGGCAUGAUGAUAGGCAAUUGGGAUAAAAAGACAAAAAUGAAGCAGUUUCUGCCCUCAAAUUGCUUAUAAUCUUUGCAAGGAGACUUGCAUAUAUAUAUAUAUAUAUAUAUAUAUAUAUAUAUAUAUAUAUAUACACAAAAUAAAUAGAAGUUAAUUUGUAGUAGGAGGAAGAAACUAGUAGCUGGGGGAUCAAUAAGGGCUUUAUGCAGGUGGUAGCUUCAAGGUAGUCUUGAAGGAGGUUAUAAUCUAAGAUUAAGAAGUAAGGAAAUAGUGCAUUUUAGUCAUGUGGAAUAGGAUUGCAAAGGCCUGGAGGAGAGGGAGAAGAAGUGUUUUAUGUAAGAAAUAAGUACAGUUUGGAUGAUACCUAGAGUGAAUGAAAGGUAGUAAUUUGUAAUAAGACUAGAAAGGGGGAUUAGGGCCAUGUUAUGAAGAACCUUAAGUACUAAUAAAGAAGAGUUUAUAUUAGAUCCUAGAUAAUAAUAGGCUUUACAAAAUAAAGCCUAAGGUUUAUAAAACACUUAGAAAUAUUAUCUCAUAUUAACCUUACAACAACUCUGGAAGGUAGCUGCUAUUAAUUAUUAUUCCCAUUUUACAGAUGAAGCAUUUAGAGAUUAAGUGACUUGCCAAGGUCACACAGCUAGUAAAUGUCUGAAGCCCGAUUUGAACUCAGGUUUCUUGACCCUUAGAGAUAAUAGGAAGCUACUGGAGUUUAAUGAGUAGUGAGGGAAAUGAUAUAUUUAGUCAUAUGCUUUAUUAAUAUAACUCCUAAAAUGAUUGCUCAAGAGACUCAAGUGAAGUUUAGAGUGCUCUGAUAGGUAACUAGUUACAGUGGAAAAAGAAAUUAUAAUUAACUCGGUCCCAUUAAACCACUUAACCAUCAGUAGAAGAUUUACAUUCUAAGAGGUCUGAAAAAAAUCUAGAACUGCAAUUCUGAUCCAAUAUCCUUCCCCCUACCCACUUACCAUAGUUACACCACUGGUAGCUAUGGAAAAAAUGGUCUGGUCAUUCUUUCCUCCCCCUUCUGCAACCUGACCCAGAUCCCUGGAUCUUGUCUUUAAAAAUAAAAGUCCAUCCCAGGUACUUGUUCUGUUCUUACCCUAAUCUCCUUAUCUCCAUUUGCCUCCCUCUUGUCCCCCAAAGGAAUCUGGUGUGAACAAAAUAAGGCAGAUGACAAUCACCUUGUGUGGUCUAUUGGCAGACUUCCAUCACUUGCCCAUUAUUUUUAGUAACAAAGGGUUUGAAAACUACCCGUUGAUAUUUUAGGAAAAACAUGCUAUCUGUCCAGAAUGACAAGUGUUAAAAUAUUGCUCCGUUAGAGACAAGGAUAUCUGGUGUGUCAUUUCAAAGAGCAUUCCCACAACACCAGAAUUGUUCUCUGCCAGCAUUUAUGGUGAUCUUUGGUAACUUUCUAAGUGGGAAUAUAUGCACAGUAGUCAUACAUGCAAUUCAACUAAUUAUGAUUGAUGGUGAGUUUGGGGGUUAGAAGUGGUGCUAAUAUUAGAGUGGUCAUUAGACAAGAAAGGAAGAGUUUAGGCAGGUUGGAAUAUGCUAAAUUAAGAACCAAGGAAAUGUCUUCCCCAUCCUACCCCACUGUUUUAGUCCCAAAUCAUGGAAAUCAUCUUUAAUAACCAUAGAACAUGAUACUAUCAAAUACAUGAUACUAUAUAAAGUAUGCCAUUUUGGGAGCACAUCCUUUAAAUAGACCUUAGCUAAGGCACAGUUCCCACCUGAGGCAUGAUGGGCCACUAGUCCCUUGACUAUUCUUUUUACCCUUCCAUGUACCAAGAUUUAGCUCACUGAUAUCCCCUACUGGUUCCUAACUGAUAGUACUUCUAUUUGGCUUGCCUGGACUCUACCACUUGUUCUUCCUGGUUUCUUGAAACCCACCACCACCACCAAAAAAGAGAAAAAAAAAAAACCCAAUGAUUUUCUUUUAGGAUUUUUAAGAGUUUUGAUGCUAUUUCGGGUGAUGACUUUUUUUUUCCUACAUCAACUUUUGAAGACUACCUCUUAAAUUAUAGGUGGGUUGUGAUUCCUGUCAGCAGAAAUUACAGAUUCUAGAAGUAUUGAAAUGUUAUGAGAGCAUGGGAGCAUGGCAGGGAGGGGUGGUGUCAUUGGAACAAAUCAAAGGGGAAAGUUACAAAAUUUAUAUAUAAUAUUUUCAGUCAAUCUAUGCUUCCAUGCAUACUUUUAGAGAAUUGGGCUUUAUCCUUUCUUAGUUCUUCCUCCUCUUGUCUGUCUGAUUCUCUACUCUGCUGGUAGACUUUGUCCUCAGUGUCAGGAUGGCCAGUGGCCAGUGAAUAGCUUAAAUGUUAUUAUUAUCUCUCCUCAUCUCUAGGCAGGAGACUCUUUUACAGAGCUGAAGGGCACGCACGCCUCUCGCCAUAUCUCUGGGUGUAGAUAGGAGUGAUUGUUUUCUAGGAGUUCAAUAGUUCUUUAAGCUCCAUUGAUUUAAUUGCUAGGUUUUUAACCUGUUUUUUUUUUUUUUUUUUUUUUCCCUCACGUAUAAGUGGGGAUUUAUUAUAGGGUUAGUGUGAGGAUCAUAUUAGACAAUGGUUAUCAAGUGCUUUGUAAAUGUCAGCUAUUAUUAUUUAUAUCCUUAUCAUCUCUAGUUACAACAGUCUAAUUAGACUGAGCCUACUCAUUUCAUAUAAGCAAUUUGGGGAGGAUAAAUUCACUGGAAGAAAUAGAAAAAUAAAGAGGAGAGAUGAGAUUUGUGAAAUAAAGGGAAAAACCCAGAAAAUGCCUCUCUAAUUUCCCCAGAAGCACAUAAGUCACAAAAUUAUAUGACUUCCUCUUUCAGUCUAGUUGUUGGGACUCUGUUCUAUGCACGGUAAGAGGAAGACAAAAGAGAGAAACUCUCUAGGGGAGCACCAUAUGAUUGCCUAAAUACCAGUAUCAAAUGAUUGUUUUUAAUUGCCUUCUCUCUUGUCCCAGUAUCCUUUUCACCCUUGAUUAGACUCAUGCAAAUGUUUUUGGUCUAGAGAGGCAGACUAAUAAUAUCAGUUGCUCUACACUUUUUUUUUUCUUCAGAAAGAUGAUGAUGUAGAAAUAUAUUUUGGAAGUGGCUCACACAAAAUCGCAUGCUAUGAUUCUCUUGUAUGUUGAAUAAACAUUACUUAAUUUGCACAUCGGACAUUAUCAUCAGCAUAUACUUUGUCACUUUUAUAACUUUUAGGAAAUGACAUGGGACUGGGACUUUCUUCACUACUAUAAUAUCUAUUUUUAAAAAAUUUAUUUUAUUAAAAAACAGAAUAAGAAAAAAAAAAAGGAAUACAAAAGAGAACUUUGUCAUGUGCCCAGCAAAAAAUAUCAGAGAGGAUUCAAAAUAUAUAACAACAAAUUAUCAGAUCAAGAAAGCAUAUGUAUUAGUAGAAGAAAUUAUAUUCAUGGGUGUCCAUCUUUUCUUUACUUCCUUAUAAAUUAUUCUUUUGUUUUUUUUCUUUAUUACUUUAUUACUUUGUUCUUUUUUUGCUUUCAGUCCUUAACCCUAUAAUUAGAAAGGGUAUAUUAAGAAGGGGUAAAUUUAUAUAUACAUAUAUAGAUACACACACACACCUCUACCUUUCCUAUCCCUGCUUUAAUUCUGCUCCUAACUUGCCUUGCUAUUUCUUAACUUCCUCCCACCCAUGGAUCCCUCAUUUGUCUUCUUCCCACACCCUUUGCUUCCUAGUCUGCCCACCUCAAUCCUUAUUUCUUUCUGGAUUUUGGAGGAUGCUAUACUCUUCAUGGUAUUUAUGUAGUGUUGCCUAUCUUAAAACAUUCCCAAUGAGAGCAGGUUUUCAAAACCAUGAGCCCUCUUCCUUCCUCUAUUGCUUCUGUGUCUAUUGUUCCUCUGCACCUCAUUUGUAUAACAUAAUUACUAUUUUUACCUUAUCUCUGCCUCAACCUUUCUUUUGAGCUGCCUUAUUAUUGUCAGUCUUAAACAUACAGUAUUCAUUUCCCAUGUAAAGAAAAACAUAAAACAAUUUGUCCACGUUGAGUUCCUUGAAAUUGAUCUUUGAUAUUGGCUCUUAUAUGUUAAAUUUUCUAUUAAGUUCAGGUUUGGUUGAUAGAAAGUCCUGAAAAUCUGCAAGUUUGUUAAAUGUCCAUUUUUUCUCAAUCAAUAUUUUAGAUAAUUUUGCUCGAUGUGAUAUUUUUGGCUGCAGGCCUAGUUCUUUUGAUUGAUUGUAGUUAUGAUUCCAGGCUCUACAGUCAUUUAUUGUGAUUACUAAGUCCUGAACAAUUCCAAUUGAAGCUCCAGCAUAUUUGAAUUUUUUUUCUUUUGUCUUUGUCUUUGAUCUGGGGUUUUUGAAAUUUGGCAAUAAUGUUCCGAUGUGUUUUUCACAAAUGAUUUUGUUGAGGUGAUAAUUGGUGGAUUAUUUUUUUUUCUAUUUCUACUUUCCCCUCAUGUUCUAUCAUUCAAGGACAAUUUUCUUGUAUUGUUUUUUGCAUUAUUGUGUCAAGAUUUUAUUUUUGGUCACCACUUUUAGGCAGUCCAAUUCUUAUAUUUUCUUUUCUUGAACUGUUAUCCAAAUCUAUCAUUUUUCCUAUGUUUCUCAUUCUGUUCUAUUUUUUUCAUUCUUUAUAAUUUCUUUUGUUAUUUCUUGGUCUCUCAUAGUUUCACUGGCUUCCCCUUGCACAAUUCUAAUUUUCAAAGAGUUUUUUUUUUUUGAGACUCUGUAUCUCUCUUCUAGUUGGUUAACUUUUUUUUUUCCACAAUCUUUUUGUUUUUCUUGGAUGAUUUUUAAUUUUAUGUUUUAGUUGUUCCUCAUUGUUUCUCUUUUGAUUUUUAAAUUCUCUUUUAAGUUUUUAUACAAAUUCUUUCUGGACAGGGAGCCAUUCCAUAUUGCUCUUUAGGGUAGAAGCUUUUUUUACUUCAGUGUCUCCUCUGAAGAUGAACCCUGGUUUUCUCUAUUCCCAUAGUAUGUUUCUGUGGUAGAAUUUUUCUUUCUUUGCCAAUUCAUUUUUUUUUUAAGUAAGUGUGUAAGCACCUCUAAUCCUAAGGUGAGGCCUCAGCUCUCCUCUCUGACCAGGAACCCUAAACCAAGAGCUCUCCCCUCCAGCAAGUGCCAGUGUCCCUGCUCUACUGCCCUCUGUACUCACAGAUGCACUGGUUCCUUCUUGCCCAGGGCCACAUCUCUGUAGCAUAGCUGGGCCUAGUAUUCCCCAGCCAAGGUUCCCUCAGUCUUCCUGAACUCAGACCUAGACUCCACAAACACUCCAGGAGGUGAAAGUUUCCAUUGUCCUGCUAAGGUUCUUGUCACACCAACCAGCCCCAGGGCUCCCCACUUGAUGCUUCUGUGGACCUUGCUUGGAGGUGCUUGCACUCACAGAGGUUAUUCCUUGACCUAGAGUCUGUUUUAGGAUCUUCUCUAUAUCAAGAAGACCCCUGUUCUGCCCCAAGCCUUCUUGAUUUUUCAUCAGUUUGUGUUCGCUUUGAGGUAUAAAUUUGUUCUGUUUCUGGGGGAAAUCUGGAGAACCUAAAAUUUACCAACCCACUCUAUUAUUUUCCCAGAAUCCACCCCCCCAUAAUACAUUUUUAUAUUUUUUAAAAGGGUAAGCAUAUUUGCAUUAUCUUCAUGUUCCGUAUGUUAAUUCAUUAGCUUAAAUAAUGUUCAGUUGUUUUUCAGUCAUGUCCAGUUCUUUGUGACACCAUCAAUUAUGAGGCAGCUCAAAAGAAAGAUUGAGGCAGAGAUAAGGUAAGAAUAGUAAUUAUGUUAUACAAAUGAGGUGCAGAGGAACAAUAGACAUAGAAGCAAUAGAGGAAGGAAGAGGGCUCAUGGUUUUGAAAACCUGCUCUCAUUGGGAAUGUUUUAAGAUAGGCAACACUACAUAAAUACCAUGAAGAGUACAGCAUCCUCCAAAAUCUAGAAAGAAAUAAGGAUUGAGGUGGGCAGACUAGGAAGCAAAGGGUGUGACUUUGCUAUUUCCUUCUCCAGCUUAUUUUAUAGAUGAGGAAAUUGAGGCAAGUACAAUUAAGUGGUUUUCCCAAGUUCACAUAGCUGGGAAGUGUUUUAGACUGGAUUUGAGGGGUUAUUGCUUCUGAGCAACAAUUAACUGAAAAAAAAAACCACAUGACCCACUAAUUAUAACCAUAAUUUUCUAUGAAAAAAGAAAGGAACUAUGAUGUAUUAGUAAUGUGUUUUAAAAGCUAGCAUUCAAAGAAAAAUUGAGAGUCAUGAAGAAACAACAGAAGACAGAACUAGGAAAGAAUAGUGUAGGAAAGAAAUAAGAAAGCAUUGAGAAGUAAACAUUCUGAGAGUAGACAAUAGGGACAUUCAUGAAGAGAGAAUAGAACAGUUUUGCAAUCUAUGGGGACAGAGAUUAUGAAGGGGGGAAGGAAAUGUACAAAUACUGUAACCCAUGAAGAUAUAUCGACUUUCCAGUGUAGCUGGAUUUAGAGUAAAAGAGAAGGUAAAAAGGCAUAACUGUGUUUCCUAUCAGAGUCCUUGAAGGUCUUAAGUAUGUCACACUGAAGAUAUAUCAACUAGGUAAUAAUAGCAAUUUAUAUUUGUACAGCACUCUAACCAGUGAAAGCAGCUUUGGUUUACAGUGUACUUUCCUCAUAGCAAACCUGUGAGGUAGGGAGUGCAAAUAUCCUGUCCAUUUUGCUAGUGAGGAAACUCUUAUUAAUAAUAGAAGCUUAUAUUUAUAGAGCACUUUAAAGUUUGCAAAAAGCUUUGAAUACAUUAUUUAAUUGUGAGGUGAAUGUUAUUAUCUCAGAUUUACAUAUGAGGAAACUAUGACUAGGAGAUUUUGUGGCCUGUCCAUGGGCGUGUACCUAGGGAAUAUCAGGGCUAUGAGCAAUGCUCAUUUCUCUGUACCAAGUUGUUCUUAACUUGAGGUACAUGAACUUGUUUUCAUAUAUAUAUAUAUAUAUAUAUAUUUGAAUUGUUCUAUAAAAAAUGAUCAGCAGGAUGAUUUCAGAAAGGCCUGGAGAGACUUACAUGAACUGAGCCUAAGUAAAUCAAGUAGAAUCAAAAGAACAUUAUACAUAAAAACAACAAGAUCAUACAAUGAUCAAUUUUGAUGGAUGUGGCUCUUUUCAAUAGCGAAGUGAUUCAGGCCAGUUCCAAUGGUCUUGUGAUGGAGAGAGAGCCAUCUGCACGCAGAGAGAGGACUGUGGGGACUGAGGGUGAAUCACAACAUAAUAUUUUCACUUUUUUGUUGUUAUUUGCUUGCAUUUUGUUUUCUUUCUUAUUUUUAAAAUUAUUUUUCUAUACACAUUUAUGGAGAUGUAUAUAGAAGAAUUGUACAUUUAACAUGUAUUGUUUGCCAUCUAGGGGAGGGGAGAGGGAGAAAAAAAUUUGGAACACAAGGUUUUGCAAGGGUGAAUGUUGAAAACUAUGCAUAUAUUUUGAAAAUAAGAACUUUUAAAAUAUAUAUAUAUAUAUAAAUAUAUACAUUAAUUACUAAAUAAUAUAAUUAUAUCAUUAAAAUAUAUGUUUGAAAAAUGUGUAUAUUUGUGUAUAUAUAUGUAUGUAUUUCAUUGUAUUGGGUUCCUUUGUUAUUCUAUGAUAUGUUAUUCAUCUAAUGCACUUAAAAACAUUAUCCUGAGAAAGGUUCUAUAGGCUUUCACUGAUUUGCCACAUGAUGCAGAAAAAGAUUGAGAAACCUAUAUCAUACUCCAUAUAUUAGCAUAUUUUGGAGUGGGGACACUAUGCUAUAUAUAAUAUGUUAUAUAUAAUAGCAUAUAUUGGGGUGAGGAGAGGUGUGAGGUAGGAGGCUUCAGUUAUCUAAAAUACUUUGUCUUUUUUUGCAGCUAUUUUAUUUUUAAUAGCUUUAUAUUUUUCAAAAUACAUGCAAAAGUAGUUUUCAACAUUCACCCUUACAUAGCCCUGUGUUUCAUACUUUUCUCCCUCCCUCUUCACCUUUCCACUCCUCUAAACAGCAAUUAAUCCAAUAUAGAUUAAAUAUAUGCAGUUUUUCUAAACCUAUUUCCGUAUUUAUCAGAAAAAUUAGAUCAAAAAGAAAAAAUGGGAAAGACAACAAAAAGCAAGCAAAACAAUAAUAACCAAAAGGUGAAAAUACUAUGUUGUGAUAUACUUUCAGUCUCCAUAGCACUCUUUUUAGAUGCAGAUGGUUUUCUCCAUCACAGGUUUAUUGGAAUUGGCCUGAAUUACCAUAUUGUUGAAAAGAUCCAUGUUGAUCACAGUUGAUCAUCACAUAAUCUGGUGAUGUGUGCAAUGUUCUCUUGGUUCUAUGCACUUCACUCAGCAUCAGUUCGUGUAAGUCUCUCCAGGCUUCUCUGAAAUCAUUCUGUUGAUUGUUUCUUACAUAAUAAUAUUUCAUUAAAUAUUAUGGAAUAUUAUUGUUCUGUAAGAAAUGAUCAACAGGAUCAUUUCAGAAAGGCCUGGAGAGACUUACACGAACUGAUGCUGAGUGAAAUGAGCAGGACCAGGAGAUCAUUAUAUACUUCAACAACAAUACUAUAUGAUGACCAGUUUUGAUGGACCUGGCCAUCCUCAGCAAUGAGAUCAACCAAAUCAUUUCCAAUGGAGCAGUAAUGAACUGAACCAGCUACGCCCAGAGAAAGAACUCUGGGUGAUGACUAAAAACCAUUACAUUGAAUUCCCAAUCCCUAUAUUUAUGCCCACCUGCAUUUUUGAUUUCCUUCACAAGCUAAUUGUACAAUAUUUCAGAGUCUGAUUCUUUUUGUACAGCAAAAUAACAGUUUGGUCAUGUAUACUUAUUGUGUAUCUAAUUUAUAUUUUAAUAUAUUUAACAUCUACUGGACAUCCUGCCAUCUGGGGGAGGGAGUGGGGGGGUAAGAGGUGAAAAAUUGGAACAAGAGGUUUGGCAAUUGUUAAUGCUGUAAAGUUACUCAUACAUAUAACCUGUAAAUAAAAGGCUAUUAAAAAUAUUUUAUUACAUUCAUAUACCAUAACUUAUUCAACCAUUCUCUAACUGAUGUUUAACGCAGUUUCCAGUUUCUUGCCACCACAAACAGGGCUGCUACAAACAUUUUUGUACGUAUGAGUCCUUUUCCCUCCUUUAUGAUCUUUUUGGAAUAUAGACCCAGUAGAAAUACAACUAGAUCAAAGGGUAUGCACAGUUUGAUAGCCCUUUAGACAUGGUUCUAAAUUGUCCUCCAGAAGGGUUGGAUUAGUUCACAACUCCACCAACAAAGUAUUAGUCUCUCAGUUUUUCUAUAUCUUCUCCAAUAUUUAUCAUUAUUUUUUUCCUGUCAUCAUAGCCAAUUUGAGAGGUGUGACUUCACACCUCAGAGUGUACUGCAGAGUUGUCUUUAUUUGUAUUUCUGUAAUCAGUAAUGAUUUAGAACCUUUUUUUUUUUCAAAUGAUUAGAAAUGGCUUUAAUAUCUUCAUCUGAAAAUUAUCUGUUCAUAUCCUUUGACUAUUAUCAAUUGAAGAAUGACUUGUAAAAUACUCCAUCUUUCACUAUUACUGAGAUGCUUCACAAUGAUUAAUGCUAAUGAUGACUAUCUCAAGCUAUCAAGAUAUAAGAUUCAGCUUGUGAAAAUGUAGAAGUUUGGACUUUUAAAAGGAUUAACUUCUGGUUGGAAGGUACCCAGAACAACUAAUUGCCCAAGGAUUCUAUAUAGCUAAGGUUGCUGCUUAGCAGCACCAACUCUUUCAGAAAUUUACAUUAUUUCUUCUUAAAUAAAGUUUUUCUCUCCGAUACAAACAAAGGUUGUUUUUUUGUUUUGUUUUUUUUCAGAUCUUACCUUUUGAAAUACACUCUAGUAUUCUCUUUAAUCACACUAACCUGUAGGGAUGUAUGUUCUGUUAAUGUCCUUUUAUAGUGAAGUUGUCAGUUUUGUGAAUCAGUUGGAAUUUCAUUCUUUUGUUCUAGUGUUUCACAGAAUAGUCAUAAUUACAUCUUGCUCUUCUUUCCAUGGAUUUUCACUUACCCAGAUGACAGCCAAUCAUUUAUUUAUUGCAUAAGCUUACUGUAUUAGAGGCUAUGAAAUUUUUUUGUACUGAACCUAUGGUUUUAUUGGUCUGGGAAAUUCCAUAUGAGGAAACGGCUUUUUACCAAUGCAGAUGAAUACUUGUUCUUCAAUUAUAAGAUUAGAGAGUUCCAUGGGAGCACUGAUAGGUUUAGUUCCUUUCCCAGCUUAGUUCACUUAGCUAGCAUGUGUCAGAGGUGGGACUUUAAUCCAGAUUUUUCUAAUUUGUAGAUCAGUUCUCUAUCCAGUAUAUCAGGAUGCCUUUGGGGCAUUAUGUUAUAUAUAAAAUGCAUUCCCUGACCUCAGGGAGCUUAUAGUUGAAGUAUAGAGAUGAAGUUUUUAUAGAAAAAUAUAGCUGACAAUAUGCCACCUGCAGGUAGGUGUCAGCUGAGCAACAUAGAUUAUGAGUCUCAUUCAUAUACUUCGAUUGCUAAUAAUUUACAUUUAUUUAGCAUUUUAAGGUUGUACUUUUCUGUUCCAAAAAAAGAGGGAUCACAGUAAUCUGCGAUGAUGAGGGGAAUAUUUGUGAAGAAAGUAGAAUUUAAGGUAGAUCUCUUUUUUAGGAAUGGAAAAAUUUUUUUAAAAUUAAAAUAAUAUUUAUUUUCUUCCAAUUAUAUGUUAAAAGAGUCUUUAAUAUUUAAAAAAGUUUUUCUUGAGUUCCAAAUUUUAUCACUCCAACCCUUCUACCUGAGAUGAUAAACAACAAUCAUUUAAAGUGUUUCCAUAUUAGUCAUUUUUCCAUUUCAAUACUAGUCAAAUCAAGAAGACCCAAAGAAAAGAUAAUGAAAAAGAGUAUAAGACAGCUCUUUAAAGAGUAGGAAGGCUUCAAAUAAGUAAAGGAAGAAAGGCAUUCUAGGCAAAGCGAAUAUUGUAAGCAAAGCUAUGAGACCAGAAUGAGCUAGUGAAGGUAAUGUGCUUAUUUUACAAAAAGCCCUAGAAUAAGAUUUAGGGGACCUGUAACAGGUCCUGACUCAGCUACAAAUUGUGGCGUGGUUGAACCAGGUUAUCUUGAAUGUCUCUUAUGGUUCUACAAUUCUGUGACUCCAUAUAUAUAGUAGGACAAUGAGCAGAUGAAUAUGACUAGCCUAAAAAAUUUGUGUAGGGAAGAAGUAGGAAAAUAUAUUUUCAUCAGUUAAUUGGAUCUAUGAUAUAUAUCUAUGUAGAUGUUUAAUAAUAGGCAAUCUGAGGAGGCUGUAAGACAAUGAGGAAUUAAUGAAGUUCUUUGAAUGGGAUGUGACAUGCUAUCAGAGCUGUCAGUCAAUAAACAUUUAUUAAACUCUUUCUGUGUGCCAGAAUUCUAGAGUACAGAAUGAGUACAGAAGAAAUAUCGCAUAGAUAAAAUUGACAGACUGCAGCAACAGAUUGGAUGUGAGGGGAAAGAGAUAGGAGUUGAGGAUGACUUCUAGCUAAGAGCCCAAAGGGCUGGGAGGUUAGUGAUCCCUCUAUAGUAAUAGUGGGAGAAGAGGGUUUAGGGUGAAAGUAAUGAGCUUGAUUUUGGACAUGUUUAAUUUAAAAUGUCUACUGGACAUCUAGUUUGAGAUGUCUGAAAAGGCAGUUAAGAGAUGUAUGAAUAAAAAGCAUGAUUUGAUGUUGAGAGGGAAAGGAUAGAAUGAUAGUAUAUUUGUGCUCAGAUAAUGGAAUUUCAGAGUUCAUGAACAUGGAGAUGGUGUAUUUGCAGGAGAUGAUAAGAUCAUGAUCAUCUUUGUGUAUGGUUAUGGUUGAGUGAGGAACAAGUCCUGUGAAAUGAAUAAAUUGAGGAACUGUAAGGAAUAAAUUGAGGGAUAAUCACUUUAUAUGUUGAAGGCCCUUAAUAUGAAGACAGGAGCUGAGGAAGGAGGAAAGACUGAGGUAUUAAACUAAACCUUCAAGAUUAACCUGGCGAUUGUAUUCCUAAUGGACAGGAAUGCAGAGAGACUGCCAGGCUUGGUUAGAGUGAGGAAAACUUGGGUUCAGAUUUCACCAUGGAUAUUUCCUACUUCAGUUAAAGGUGUGACCUAACAUCUCUCAGCCUCAGUUUGCUUACCUGUAAAACAAUUAAUACUAGAACCUAGUUCUAUCUUGGCUCAAAUGAGAUCAUAUAUGUAUUUUGUAAACACUAAUGCUUCUAUAUAAAUUCCAAUGAUGCAAUUGUAAACUGUCCUUAUGAGGAUGGCACCUAUAAGCCCAUACGUAAUCAGCCUUAGCCAAUAUGUAGGUCAUUUGUUUUUAUUCUAAUAAUAUUCAUCUUCACAAAUUGCCAAUUCAUUGCAAUCCAAUAUGUAAAGAAUAGUUAUACUCAGAUAAAAUAUUGCUUUUACCAGUCUUGCUGCACAGUAAUCAUGUAACCAAAUAAGAUGAGGUGAAUACAAAUGUACUCUUAUCUCAGUGUCUUAUGGAAAUUUAAACAGGUGUGCUAAACAGUUUAUAUAGCAAUUACAAUAUGAGGAGAGGGACAUCCCAGUUUUUGAAUAAGCAGGACUGAUUUUGUUUAUGAAUGAGCAAUUCAUAUACAGUGGAUGGUGGUAGUGAUGGGUUGUUGGGUUUUUUUUUUUUUUUUUUUGGCCUCUUUUCUCUCUUUAAUCCAGACUACUGAGCUGAAUGGUGAAUUGAAAGCAAAGUUCUUUGUGUAUAGGGCCAUUUUUAUGGGAAAAAAUAUAAUUUUCAAAAAAGAAUCUGAGCUUUUUGUCUCAGCCAUCUUUUUGACCCUGGAAAAUCUGCUUGUAGCUUUUUUGGUGAAAGUCAGAAUAUGGCAUGAUCCUCCAAUGGAAGAAUAUUGGAAAGGGUUUUUAUAGCCCAUAGAGUUUCACUUUUCUUUCUAGGUAUUUGAUCAUAGCUGAUAGGGAAAUGUUUUUUUGAAGUAGGUAAUGUAAAGGAACUGUUUCUCUUUUCUCUACAGAUAAAAUCUGGAGACUUGGAAAUGGUCCAACUGUAGUGAUGAGUUUGACAAUUUCACACCAUGGGAAUCUCACCUGUGCCUCAAUAAACACAGAUUAUCAGCUCUCAGCUAGAGAUUGCCUAAGAAGCUGGGACUUGGAAGAUUAAAAAAGCAAAGCAAAAGAAACAGAGGUACAAACCUAGGCAAAAAUUAUUUGCCUAGAACCUUGGUGCCAUCUCUUUUGGCCUCAAGCUUGUGUAGCUCCUGCGAUUUAGUUAGUGUAUACAGUACUGUUCUUCCACUUGUGCCUAAAUGGGACAACAACCCAACAGCCAGACUGAAGACGAAGGGGUGAAAAGCAAAGUCCAUGGCAACUUAUCCUUGCCAAUUAUGUGGGAAGAUACUCCUUACCCUGGAAAAAUUCACUAUCCACACUUACUCCCACACAGGGGAACGUCCUUACAAGUGCUUGCAGCAAGGCUGUGCAAAAGGGUUCAUUUCCAAAUAUAAGCUCAUCAGAAAGUGCUGCUAUUUCAUUAUCAAUCCAGUUCAAUUCAGCAAGGAUUUAUUAUUACCAGAUGAGGGAAUUUGAAUCCUAUGGAGUUUAAGUGGCUUGUCCAAAUUUACUGAGGCAGUAAAUGUUAGAGGUGAGAUUUGAACCUAGGCCUUCUAACCCUAGAGUCAGUAUAAGAAGGCAUUGGAAGACUGGUAAAUAGAAGUCUCUAACAGGCAGAUGUAAAGAAAAGUUAAUUAACAUUUAAAACUGCCCACAAGUAGGUUGGCUACCUUAUAUAUGUAGUACGGGGUUCAGUGCCAAGGAUAGAAUAUCCAGGAAAGCCCACAUAAUAUAAUCUCUCUCCUCUCUCCUCUUUUUUUGAUUUUGGCUAGAAUGCUUGCUAAAAUAUUUUUCUCCUCUCUCUCCUUCUCCCUUAUCUAUUUCCCCCUUCCCCCGCAGUGAUUUAAGGAUAAUUCAGAUUCAGGUUAAAGUCUCUUUCUCUAAUCUUUAAUUCUCCUGCUGUUAACUUUGGUUCUCUUUAGAAAUUGGUCACAGCCAGCUCCAUGUAAGUUGUGUGUGUGGGGGGGUGGUUCUGUGAAAGCUUAUUGUUGGAUUACUGUGCCUCCACCUGAUUCUGGCUUCCUCUUUGAACAGAACUCUAUAUGCUUCAGUCCCACUCUAGCUCUCUUCCUCCUGAAUGCUCCCCAAAGGAUCACAUUCCCAAGACUUGCAUGCUAAAUUAGUUUUAUGUAAUAGGGAGAACAAAUUAGAACAGAAAAGGAGGGGCAGGUGGGGGAGGAGGGAAGGAACUGAUCAGCAAAGACAACAACGGUAUGGCAGAUACUGAAUUUCUUCCUAUAGAGAGCAGCAAGAGGCUUUCUGUUUAGAUGCUAGAGAUG